AGCGAACGCUGGCGGCAGGCCUAACACAUGCAAGUCGAACGAACCCCUCGGGGUUAGUGGCGGACGGGUGAGUAACACGUGGGAACGUGCCUUUAGGUUCGGAAUAACUCAGGGAAACUUGUGCUAAUACCGAAGGUGCCCUUAGGGGGAAAGAUUUAUCGCCUUUAGAGCGGCCCGCGUCUGAUUAGCUAGUUGGUGAGGGAAUGGCUCACCAAGGCUACGAUCAGUAGCUGGUCUGAGAGGAUGACCAGCCACAUUGGGACUGAGACACGGCCCACACUCCUACGGGAGGCAGCAGUGGGGAAUCUUGCGCAAUGGGCGAAAGCCUGACGCAGCCAUGCCGCGUGGAUGAUGAAGGUCUUAGGAUUGUAAAAUCCUUUCACCGGUGAAGAUAAUGACUGUAGCCGGAGAAGAAGCCCCGGCUAACUUCGUGCCAGCCGCCGCGGUAACAC
rnacentral:rRNA from 1 species